AAGCUUGUAAGCAACAUGGCCCAAGGAAGCAAAGGGAAUACGCUCAAGUGAAUCCUUUGUCCCUGGAAGGCACAUGGAUACAAAGUGCUCCAAGUAAGGUGGAUCCAGAAGAGUCAGGAAAAAAUCCUGUUAAGAACCCGACAAGUGGCCGGCUGAUUUACACUUGUUUCAUACCAUAUUAUUUCAUCAGAAGUCCU